AGCGAACGCUGGCGGCAGGCCUAACACAUGCAAGUCGAGCGCCGUAGCAAUACGGAGCGGCAGACGGGAGAGUAACACGUGGGAACGUACCCUUUGGUUCGGAACAACCCAGGGAAACUUGGGCUAAUACCGGAUAAGCCCUCACGGGGAAAGAUUUAUCGCCGAAGGAUCGGCCCGCGUCUGAUUAGCUAGUUGGUGGGGUAAUGGCCCACCAAGGCGACGAUCAGUAGCUGGUCUGAGAGGAUGAUCAGCCUCACUGGGACUGAGACACGGCCCAGACUCCUACGGGAGGCAGCAGUGGGGAAUAUUGGACAAUGGGCGCAAGCCUGAUCCAGCCAUGCCGCGUGGGUGAUGAAGGCCCUAGGGUUGUAAAGCCCUUUCGGCGGGGAAGAUAAUGACGGUACCCGCAGAAGAAGCCCCGGCUAACUUCGUGCCAGCCGCCGCGGUAACAC
rnacentral:rRNA from 1 species